GCUUGCUCUUUUGGUUUAGCGGCGGACGGGUGAGUAACACGUGGGCAACCUGCCCUGCAGAUCGGGAUAACUCCGGGAAACCGGUGCUAAUACCGAAUAGUUUGGCGCCUCUCCUGAGGCGCUACGGAAAGACGGUUUCGGCUGUCACUGCAGGAUGGGCCCGCGGCGCAUUAGCUAGUUGGUGGGGUAACGGCCCACCAAGGCGACGAUGCGUAGCCGACCUGAGAGGGUGAUCGGCCACACUGGGACUGAGACACGGCCCAGACUCCUACGGGAGGCAGCAGUAGGGAAUCUUCCGCAAUGGACGCAAGUCUGACGGAGCAACGCCGCGUGAGUGACGAAGGUUUUCGGAUCGUAAAACUCUGUUGUGAGGGAAGAAACCGUGCCAAUUAACUACUGGCACCUUGACGGUACCUCACCAGAAAGCCACGGCUAACUACGUGCCAGCAGCCGCGGUAAUACGUAGGUGGCAAGCGUUGUCCGGAAUUAUUGGGCGUAAAGCGCGCGCAGGCGGUCCUUUAAGUCUGAUGUGAAAGCCCACGGCUCAACCGUGGAGGGUCAUUGGAAACUGGAGGACUUGAGUGCAGAAGAGGAAAGUGGAAUUCCACGUGUA
rnacentral:rRNA from 1 species